GAUGAAGAACGUAGCGAAAUGCGAUACGUAAUGUGAAUUGCAGAAUUCAGUGAAUCAUCGAAUCUUUGAACGCAUAUUGCGCUCUUUGGUAUUCCGAAGAGCAUGCUUGUUUGAGUAUCAGUAAACACCUCAACCUCUUCUUGAUUUUUCAAAAGGAGGGUGGACUUGAGCUAUCCCAACAACCUUUACCGGUCGGCGGGCGGCUUGAAAUGCAGGUGCAGCUGGACUUUUAUCUGAGCUAAAAGCAUAUCUAUUUAGUCCUCGUCAAACAGGAUUAUUACUUUUGCUGCAGCUAACAUAAAGGAUAAUUGUCCUCUUUGCUGACUGAUGCAGGCUUUUACGACACUUUAUGUGUUGUUCAACUCGAUCUCAAAUCAAGUAAGACUACCCGCUGAACUUAAGCAUAUCAAUAAGCGGAGGA
rnacentral:misc_RNA from 1 species